rnacentral:misc_RNA from 1 species
CGGGGCUUCUUCAAUAUUAUAGCAAUAGUAAUAUGGAGUCGUGUGAGGAUUGUAAACCUUGUAAGACUUCACAAGCUCCGCAACGUCAUCUUUGUCCCUGAAUUUUCUGCAGAAAGCAUGUUUAGUGACAACCGGUUCCCACAGCAAAUUGUUCCACCAGCUUCCGCUUCCUUUAACUUGUCUUAAUUUUGUUGCGCUGUUGGAAUCAAAUGGAAGACUUCGUAGGUUUGGGCAAUCAAAUACGACUAGCUUCGCAAGGGAAAAAAAUUGUAGGGGUCGGCAGUAGAUGGACUUGAGAUUUGGUAAGCGUUUCAAUGAUAAUUUCUCCAGAUUUCUGAAUACAUCUUGCCCAUGAUCUUCACUUAUUACUUCAAUAAUUUCAUUGCAGCCACUUAAUUUCAGAGAUUGAAG